UACGGAGGGUGCAAGCGUUAUCCGGAUUCACUGGGUUUAAAGGGUGCGUAGGUGGGUCUGUAAGUCAGUGGUGAAAUCUCCAAGCUUAACUUGGAAACUGCCGUUGAUACUAUAGAUCUUGAAUGUUGUUGGAGGUGAGCGGAAUAUGUCAUGUAGCGGUGAAAUGCUUAGAUAUGAACAUAGUAACACCAAUUGCGAAGGCAGCUCACUACACAAAGAAUUGACACUGAGGCACGAAAGCGUGGGAUCAAACAGGA
rnacentral:rRNA from 1 species